rnacentral:rRNA from 1 species
CCUACGGGAGGCAGCAGUGGGGAAUAUUGCGCAAUGGGCGAAAGCCUGACGCAGCGACGCCGCGUGUGGGAUGACGGCCUUCGGGUUGUAAACCACUGUCGCGAGGGACGAAGAUCUGACGGUACCUCGAAAGGAAGCACCGGCUAACUCUGUGCCAGCAGCCGCGGUAAUACAGAGGGUGCGAGCAUUGUCCUGAAUUACUGGGCGUAAAGGGCGCGUAGGCGGUCCGAUAAGUAGGGGGUGAAAUCUCACGGCUCAACCGGGAGGCUGCCUUCUAGACUGUCAGACUUGAGCACGGUAGAGGCAGAUGGAAUUCCCGGUGUAGCGGUGGAAUGCGUAGAGAUCGGGAAGAACACCAGUGGCGAAGGCGGUCUGCUGGGCCGUUGCUGACGCUGAGGCGCGACAGCGUGGGGAGCAAACAGGAUUAGAUACCCUGGUAGUCCACGCCGUAAACGAUGGGCACUAGGCGUCGGGGGGAGCGACCCUCCCGGUGCCGUCGCUAACGCAGUAAGUGCCCCGCCUGGGGAGUACGGCCGCAAGGCUGAAACUCAAAGGAAUUGACGG